UACGCUGCCUCACUACGCCAGCAAAAGAAAGAAUAGAGGAACGACAAAAAAACAAGCAGGGAGGGUGACUGACUGAGCUUACAAAGGAAGAAAACAGGCUGAAUAUGGGGGAAGGAUUCAUGAAAAGGAUUUUUUUUCCAACUUGGAUGAGAUAUGGGCGUAAUUUCUUUUGUGUGCCUUUGUUUUCAAGGAUAUCUGAAAAGCACAGUGCAUGCUAUACAGUACAGCGGGAGUGAAGCGGAAUACUUUGGUCACCUUUUGUUGCUUUUAGCAUGGCGGCUGGACCAGAACCAAAACAUCGGACCCGACACCCUACCACUCUGCUUGAAUCAAGGUUGCCACCAGUCAAGGGCACAACAAUCUAUCUGUUGCUUAGCGGAUAAUAGCGUCCAGUUUGACUUGGUUCGGCGGGUAUUUACUCUUUGUUAGCCUCUGGUUCAAAACGUGGUUCCGUGUUUCUCACCCGUAAAACCGGAGUCCAAGCGCUGCUGCCUCCUCACAUAGAGACACGGGAGAGCUUCACACAGGUUGGCAGGGAGUCAGGCACGAGUCGUCGGAGGAGGCUGAUGCUUUAUACUGGUGCCAACUACCCUCUGCUGUAUGGGAGGAUGGGUAGGGGGCGAGAAGGAGUGGGGCAACGCAGGGGAGGGGAGGAAAGAGGCAAGACUGGUGGGAGGUGGUCCAUUUUUAAGAACAGUAAGAGGUAAGUAACGGAAACGGAUGCUGCUUUGGCCUUUAAACAAUCAAUCCGAGUGCAUUUAAAGCUGCUGCUGUCCAGAGUAGGGAAACUGUCCAGACAGUAAAGAGCACAACUUUUAAGCCAGUCCUGUAUUCCAUACAUACUGUAUCCUAGCAACGGAAACGGUUGCUAUGGAGAGGGCUACCUACUAUAGCAUCAGCUCCAUUAUCUGCUUCCAGCAAGAUGGAGGCACAUCCUGUUGGGGCCUGCUGGCAAAUCUAUUUGAAAAGUUGAUUUGAUGGGGAAAAAAGGCGACAGCAUCCACCUGGCUGAGCCUAACGCGUCUUCUUUUUAACUGCAUGGUAAAGGGGAAAUAAAUAUAAUGAAAAAUGAACCUACACACUCCCUCUGCAGAUAUACAAGAGCAAAACCAUCCAUUUUAUACGCAGUCCAUGUCACAGGGGGUUAGAGUCUAUUCCAGUGGACAAGAUGCAUGGCGGGUUACAGGGUCUCCAGUUCACUUAACUGACUGCUGCAUAAAAACCAGAUCACCUUGAGAAAACCUCACAUGGCCACUGGGAGAACGAGCAACCUCCAUACUCCAGGUUACCGAGGUACCAAUCGUAAUCAGCAAGCAACAGCCCUGCCCAUGAGCGAAAUCUCUCUCAUUUAUUUAUCUCAUGUUUGUGUAGUUAAUUUGCACGCUUUCUCAUUGGCUUACAUACUUCUUCCUUUUCUCCUCUAAGCUCCCUCCAAAGCCAAAAAAGACAAGGGCAUCAGGAGAAAGCAGAGAAACAACAGGGAAAUAACGACAGAAAUAUAUCUUCGCUAUGAACCUGCUUUCUGAGAGUUAUGGUGGAACAUGUAACAGAGAUUGAUUUUGGUCAGCUGACCUCCCCCAUCCUGUUUAGAAGAAAUAUUGGCAGUCUAUCCUGCACUGACUCAAAAUAAUAGCUACUGUGCCCCUACCAUGUAGCAAUCUGCCACUGGAUCAUUCUCGCCAAGGUCACAGAGUACAUUAUACAGACUGGAGCGAAGGGAGGGAACACAGGACAACAGGACGUCUAAACAAGGAACAAGGAGCUUCUUUAAAGAGGCUUGAGGGCGAGAAGCAACUUUCAGAUUUUGUGAUCUUGAUUGGGGAGAGGGGACAAGUGUGCACAGACUCACACACACACGAGGCUGGGACUGCACAGGGCAUAUGUGGAGACUGUUCUCGCAAUCCUUAAAUUACUCAUGCUUGCUGGCCCACGCCGACCAACACAGAAGCAUGCGACUGCAACACACACAUACACACACGAGAACAACCCCGUCCUCAUCUAAACUGCCCCCCCAUUGUGAAAGGGGAGGAACAGAUUUCUGCCAUGCGGUGUCUCCGAGCUGCUUCGACAGACGGAGAAGGAACUUACGACGGGGCGGAGCCUUCAUGCGCAUAAUGCCCAGAUGGGCCCCUGGACGCUGCGGCACCGCUUCCUCCUAUGCACUCACACCCAGCUCCCACAAUGCACUUUGAGGAUGCUACUGUCUGAGGUGGUGAUGAGUGGGAGCACCAGGUUCAUAGGUUUCUCCACCAGCCUUCCUGUCCCAAUAUAGUAAAAUGAAAAAUGUGAAUGAAAGGUUACGAAAGACUGGGAUGAAAUGGAGACUCGGUGCUACACGGCGACAAUGAGUGAAAUUGAAAACAUUUGUGCAAAAGUAGGAAAAUGUGUUCAAUUUCAUGUAGGGAAACACGCUAAAACUGAAGAAAAAGGAACUGAAGCAUAUUUCUCGAGUGCCAGAAUGUCUCUGAGCUGAUUUAAUCACCAAAUAUUUGCAAUAUAUCCCAGUGGGCCUUUGCUGCCAAUACAGAUUUUGGUUGUAUUGCUGUCCAAAGACUAAAAUCCCCAAAACACAGAACAGGUUAAACAGUAACACAGGAAAUGUAUGCUGGGCAUACUUGGUUUGAAAGGUUAAUCACGCUAGAUAUGCAUGUUUGAAUGUCUGCCUGUAUGCAAAAAUCUACAAAAUCCAUACAAUCUACAAAUGGCAGCAAAAUAUAUUACAAAUUCACACUAAAAAAGUGAUUUUUCCAUCUCCGUUGUUGUACCGUUGACGUAUGGAGAAUACACAGUCUGUGUGUACGACAUCAAGGUGGCGGAGUCUUCUGUAUAUGACGCAAAGGAACAUGUUGAAUCAAAACUGCAGCAGAGAGAUACACAUCAAAGGGAGAAUCAGUCACGGAUGACGACGUUUGCGCCUCACAAAUCUCAUGCCUCGACGACUGUGGUAAGGGCUGAAGUUAUGCUUUGCAACUUCACAGCACAACAAAAUCUGCUGACGGUUGAUCACCUGACCAACCUCACACGGAGGAUUCUUUUUUUUAUAAUCCGUCUGAUUUCAUGUACAUAUCCCCAACCAAUUUAUACACGGGAAAAUCCAUCUAAUUGAUGUAUACGAUUAUGGCGAGAUGAGGUUCCCAUGGACAAACCUCAAAGUCACAAAUCACUGUUGGAAUGGGAGUAAGCUGUGCGAAUCACGAAUGUCUAUGUGACACUUAAUACUAUUAAAUUUUGUCAAAUUUUCUGACAGUAAGACAGAAUGGAUUCACUUUAAGCUCAACUAAAUGCUGCUGGAUUUCUCUCGAAGCCCAGUGUUGUGCAAUAAUUGUUGCCUUGACUGACUUUUGUACAUAAACACCUGCAACUUAACAUAAUAAUCCUGCAGUUAUCAUUUUAUUCACUGCGCAAUCACGUAUUUGUUUCUGCUAUCUCUCGGCCUUGGCAUGGGUGAACUGAUCUCUGGACCCAACUUUGCCACAGUUGCACCAAAGUGAAGUGGAUCUUGUUGCUGCUUACGUUUUCGACACUGAAAACACCAGGAAAGUUCCAAGUCAGUGCUUGCAGAAGGGCAUUCACACUUCUUUCUAACAGUGACAGAAACACCAAGAACUUGUUUUUUGUUCAAAUUAGAUUUAGUUGAGGGAAUUUGAUGCUGCACAGAACCUAAAAUUAGGCCUAAAAAUGAGCAAAUGUUGGAAUAAAAUCAAUUUGUACAUUA